UGAAAGCUGGGGGAGCAAACCGNNNNNNAUACCCGGGUAGUCCCAGCUGUAAACGAUGCAGACUCGGUGAUGCAUUGGCUUGUGGCCAAUGCAGUGNNNNNGGGAAGCCGUUAAGUCUGCCGCCUGGGAAGUACGUACGCAAGUAUGAAACUUAAAGGAAUUGGCGGGGGAGCACCACAAGGGGUGAAGCCUGCGGUUCAAUUGGAGUCAGCGCCAGNNNNNUUACCUGGGGAGACAGCAGAAUGAAGGUCAAGCUGAAGACUUUACCAGACACGCUGNGAGGUGGUGCAUGGCCGUCGCCAGCUCGUGCCGUGAGAUGUCCUGUUAAGUCAGGUAACGAGCGAGACCCCUGCGUCUAGUUGCUACCAUUACUCUCUGGAGCAGUGGAGCGAAUUAGACGGACCGCCACAGUUAAUGUGGAGGAAGGAAGGGGCCACGGCAGGUCAGUAUGCCCCGAAACC
rnacentral:rRNA from 1 species